CGGUAAGGAGUGCUGGAGCGAAUAGAAGUGAGCAUGCAGGCAUGAGUAGCGAUAAUUAAUGUGAGAAUCAUUAACGCCGUAAACCCAAGGUUUCCUACGCGAUGCUCGUCAUCGUAGGGUUAGUCGGGUCCUAAGUCGAGUCCGAAAGGGGUAGACGAUGGCAAAUUGGUUAAUAUUCCAAUACCAACAUUAGUGUGCGAUGGAAGGACGCUUAGGGCUAAGGGGGCUAGCGGAUGGAAGUGCUAGUCUAAGGUCGUAGGAGGUUAUACAGGCAAAUCCGUAUAACAAUACUCCGAGAACUGAAAGGCUUUUUGAAGUCUUCGGAUGGAUAGAAGAACCCCUGAUGCCGUCGAGCCAAGAAAAGUUUCUAAGUUUAGCUAAUGUUGCCCGUACCGUAAACCGACACAGGUGGGUGGGAUGAGUAUUCUAAGGCGCGUGGAAGAACUCUCUUUAAGGAACUCUGCAAAAUAGCACCGUAUCUUCGGUAUAAGGUGUGGUUAGCUUUGUAUUAGGAUUUACUCCGAAAGCAAGGAAACUUACAACAAAGAGUCCCUCCCGACUGUUUACCAAAAACACAGCACUCUGCUAACUCGUAAGAGGAUGUAUAGGGUGUGACGCCUGCCCGGUGCUCGAAGGUUAAUUGAUGGGGUUAGCAUUAGCGAAGCUCUUGAUCGAAGCCCGAGUAAACGGCGGCCGUAACUAUAACGGUCCUAAGGUAGCGAAAUUCCUUGUCGGUUAAAUACCGACCUGCAUGAAUGGCGUAACGAGAUGGGAGCUGUCUCAAAGAGGGAUCCAGUGAAAUUGUAGUGGAGGUGAAAAUUCCUCCUACCCGCGGCAAGACGGAAAGACCCCGUGGACCUUUACUACAGCUUGACACUGCUACUUGGAUAAGAAUGUGCAGGAUAGGUGGGAGGCUUUGAGUAUAUGACGCCAGUUGUAUAUGAGCCAUUGUUGAGAUACCACUCUUUCUUAUUUGGGUAGCUAACCAGCUUGAGUUAUCCUCAAGUGGGACAAUGUCUGGUGGGUAGUUUGACUGGGGCGGUCGCCUCCCAAAUAAUAACGGAGGCUUACAAAGGUUGGCUCAGAACGGUUGGAAAUCGUUCGUAGAGUAUAAAGGUAUAAGCCAGCUUAACUGCAAGACAUACAAGUCAAGCAGAGACGAAAGUCGGUCUUAGUGAUCCGGUGGUUCUGUGUGGAAGGGCCAUCGCUCAAAGGAUAAAAGGUACCCCGGGGAUAACAGGCUGAUCUCCCCCAAGAGCUCACAUCGACGGGGAGGUUUGGCACCUCGAUGUCGGCUCAUCGCAUCCUGGGGCUGGAGCAGGUCCCAAGGGUAUGGCUGUUCGCCAUUUAAAGCGGUACGCGAGCUGGGUUCAGAACGUCGUGAGACAGUUCGGUCCCUAUCUGCCGUGGGCGUAAGAAGAUUGAAGAGAUUUGACCCUAGUACGAGAGGACCGGGUUGAACAAACCACUGGUGUAGCUGUUGUUCUGCCAAGAGCAUCGCAGCGUAGCUAAGUUUGGAAAGGAUAAACGCUGAAAGCAUCUAAGCGUGAAGCCAACUCUAAGAUGAAUCUUCUCUAAGCUCUCUAGAAGACUACUAGUUUGAUAGGCUGGGUGUGUAAUGGAUGAAAGUCCUUUAGCUGACCAGUACUAAUAGAGCGUUUGGCUUAUCUUUAAUAAAGCAU
rnacentral:rRNA from 1 species